rnacentral:rRNA from 1 species
UACAGAGGAUGCAAGCGUUAUCCGGAAUGAUUGGGCGUAAAGCGUCCGCAGGUGGCAGUUCAAGUCUGCUGUCAAAGACCGGGGCUUAACUUCGGAAAGGCAGUGGAAACUGAACAGCUAGAGUAUGGUAGGGGCAGAGGGAAUUCCUGGUGUAGCGGUGAAAUGCGUAGAGAUCAGGAGGAACAUCGGUGGCGAAGGCGCUCUGCUGGACCAUAACUGACACUCAGGGACGAAAGCUAGGGGAGCGAAUGGG